rnacentral:rRNA from 1 species
AACGAACGCUGGCGGCAUGCCUAACACAUGCAAGUCGAACGAGACCUUCGGGUCUAGUGGCGCACGGGUGCGUAACGCGUGGGAAUCUGCCCUUGGGUUCGGAAUAACUUCGGGAAACUGAAGCUAAUACCGGAUGAUGACGUAAGUCCAAAGAUUUAUCGCCCAAGGAUGAGCCCGCGUAGGAUUAGCUAGUUGGUGAGGUAAAGGCUCACCAAGGCGACGAUCCUUAGCUGGUCUGAGAGGAUGAUCAGCCACACUGGGACUGAGACACGGCCCAGACUCCUACGGGAGGCAGCAGUGGGGAAUAUUGGACAAUGGGCGCAAGCCUGAUCCAGCCAUGCCGCGUGCAGGAAGACGGUCCUAUGGAUUGUAAACUGCUUUUAUACAGGAAGAAACACUCCGACGUGUCGGAGCUUGACGGUACUGUAAGAAUAAGGAUCGGCUAACUCCGUGCCAGCAGCCGCGGUAAAGUAGCGU